AUUGCACGCUGGCGGCAGGCCUAACACAUGCAAGUCGAACGAGUGGCGGACGGGUGAGUAAUGUCUGGGAAACUGCCUGAAGGAGGGGGAUAACUACUGGAAACGGUAGCUAAUACAGCAUACCAUCAGAUGUGCCCAGAUGUGAUGAGCUUGUGGGUGGGGGAAAGGCUCACCAAGGCGACGUUCCCUAGCUGGUCUGAGAGGAUGACCAGCCACAAUGGAACUGAGACACGGUCCAGAUUCCUAGGGGAGGCAGCAGUGGGGAAUAUUGCACAAUGGGCGCAAGCCUGAGGCAGCCAAGCCGCGUGUAUGAAGAAGGCUGUUGGGUUUUAAAGUACUUUCAGCGGGUAGGCGUUGCCCGCAGAAGAAGCCCCGGCUAACUCCGUGCCAGCAGCCGCGGUAAUAC
rnacentral:rRNA from 1 species